GACGAACGCUGGCGGCGUGCUUAACACAUGCAAGUCGAACGGAAAGGCCCUGCUUUUGUGGGUUGCUCGAGUGGCGAACGGGUGAGUAACACGUGAGUAACCUGCCCUUGACUUUGGGAUAACUUCAGGAAACUGGGGCUAAUACCGGAUAGGAUCUCCUGCUGCAUGGUGUGGGUUGGAAAGUUUCGGCGGUUGGGGAUGGACUCGCGGCUUAUCAGCUUGUUGGUGGGGUAGUGGCUUACCAAGGCUUUGACGGGUAGCCGGCCUGAGAGGGUGACCGGCCACAUUGGGACUGAGAUACGGCCCAGACUGCUACGGGAGGCAGCAGUGGGGAAUAUUGCACAAUGGGCGGAAGCCUGAUGCAGCAACGCCGCGUGCGGGAUGACGGCUUUCGGGUUGUAAACCGCUUUCGCCUGUGACGAAGCGUGAGUGACGGUAAUGGGUAAAGAAGCACCGGCUAACUACGUG
rnacentral:rRNA from 1 species